rnacentral:lncRNA from 1 species
AUGUUCUUGUAGCAUGCACACAUUUUAAAAAACCCAGUACAUGUAAUUUUUGAAAAUAGUAUGUACCAUUACACCUUUUUAUUUGGGAGAUUUAUUAGAAAAUAACUUUUUAUUCAGAAAAGAUUAUGACAGAAUUAGAUAAAAAGGAGACUAAAAUGUGUGUUAAAUCGUGUAAUAUUAUAAAUGUAAUUAACUCUUCAUCUUCCAAAUAUUGAAAACAGUAAUGAAAGAGACCAAUAUUUAAAAAUAGAAUCUUGUUUUAAACCUAAAAAAAAAACCUAAAAAAUUGUUAUAUGGUAACAGCUUUACUUUCACACAAGGCAAACCCACUGUUGAGUGAGUUGGCUCUGAUUCCAAUGGUCUCAUCAACUUUGUGAACACAGGUACCUCAGUGGUGCCUCUUUCAAGACAACAAAAUUAACUUUUAGAGAUUAAAAAAUAUAUUUUGGCAAUUGAAACUCACCAGUGCCUUUCUGCUUCUCCAGGAAGUUGUACCCGUCAGCACCUGCUGAGGGCUUUGUUGUCCAAACCCUGACAGGUAAAAAAAUUCCUGCAGAAUAAAGCCAGACCAGCUGGCUUUGAAGAGAAACCCCCCAGUUUGGGCUGCGUUUGCCUCCUCUCCUUUUCUAUGAAGACCGAGGCUUUGCCCCCUUGAUCGUCAAGCCGUGAGAUGCGUGAUCUCUCUGCACAAGUGUCUGGCAGGCCGAGGUGCACCUGUUUCUGUCACUCUGGAGUAAAUUUAGCUGUAAAGGUAUCACUGACAACCAGACCUUUGUCAGUGCUGGCAAAAGAACACAGAAUUGCUUCCCUCCCCUCCCCCCUCCCGACCCCCUAUGCUGCUAGUUCCAAUGGAAAAUAUCCAAUCGGAAGUCUAUCCAAAAAUCAUUCCUAAAAAAUGAAAUUGCUUUCAUAUGGUAUAAAAAAGUAAGUUUCCUCAUUUCAAGCAGAUUUUAAAAUUACAUUUCCAAGAAUAAUCUUGGAACAAGACAAGUUUUCGUUCAAUUAAUUGUGGCUGGAAACUUUUUAAUGGAAACAUAGCACAUACUUACUUCAUUUCAGGUUAUUAAAUUGUGUUAAGCAUAAAAGUUAUUUGCCAUUCUUUGUUGCAGCUCAUUUGUUCUUUUCGAUUCUAAGAAAUAUUAGAAGGUUAAAUAACUUAUCACAUAGGAGAGAUUAUUCAUACUACCAAAAUUAGAAUGUGUGUAGUUCUGAGGGACUGAAUGUCAAAAUUGUAUGCUCAUAGCACUAAAACUAUUGGGAAUCUAGGAUGCCACUGGAACAUGUAAAAUGGCAGCUAAGGUCUAUGGAAACCCUUCAUGUUUAGAAACUGGCUAAAGCUUGAGUUCUCUUAUCUUUUGGUUAAGGUAAGGACGUUUAUCAUUUAUGUGAAUGUUUUAGACUAAUUUCUUUAUUAGUGGUUUGAGCAAUAUUCCUUUUGAGGAAAAUAGAGAGGCAGGCAAUAUUCAUUAAUAUGUCUGACAUAAAUAAAAUAGUCAAGAUAUAUAAAGCAGCCCAAGGAGUAACAUCCUUAGCCAAAGCAUUCUGAGCUUCUGCCUUAAUAAUUAUGAUUUCUUAAGUGUUGUUAAAAAGAGUUGUACAGAGUACCUGUUCUACCAUAUUAUUGCUGUUUACAGGAGUUGGGUGUGAUGAGAAAAGGAAAGCUGGGUCAAAAUAAAAAAUGCUUUGUAAAAUAAACAAAGUUCCUAUUUACUUACUAUGUAUAAACAGCCACUCACCAAGCCUCGUUUCUCCACAGGGCACCACUUUCAGAUAAAAACAUAGACCUGAAUGGCAUCAUCCAGUAUCCAAGGAAACCAUUGUGUCUGUAACCAGCUAAUGAGCUGCAACAGAGCCUGGCCUUCAUUUUCAGCAAAUUAAGUUCAUCCCUCAUAGGAAUUGUGGUCUGGCUGUGGCACCGCUCCUAGGUAUGGGUGGGAUUUGUUUCUUCUAGCAGUUGUAGGUUAGCCACAUGGGUACGUGCUGUCGCACCACACAACAAAAUUUUCUCUAUAAUAACCAGUCUAAGUAGGCUUUUACCCCACAAAAGUAGAUCCCAUUUAAUUUACUUUGUGUUUAUAGCACUCCCUCUCAAACCGCACCA